UGGCUCCGCCGUCUGAGGGGCUGUGUUCGGAGCUGGAGUCGCGAGCCUGCGUGGUGGGCAGUGGGGCUGAAACCUGCCCCACUGUGGGGCCCCAGGCUGUGCGGUCUCGAUUUCGGUCUGACAGGCUGUGGGGCUAAAACUUGCCUGUGACGGGCUAUAGGGGCUGCUUGGCUCCCAGGACCACAGAGCUGGAAGUGACGGGCCGAGCCCAGGAUGCUGUGCUGGGGGCUUCUGCUGUGAUGCUGGAUGGAGACCACACCUCAGAGGCUGUGCCUGUGUUUAUCUUCUCUCCUGGGUGCCAACGUGACAGUGAUAACCUCAGCUGCAGAUUAGAAGUGCUUUGUUUGUGAUUCUUGGGUGCUCUGCACUUGAUGCAUCGUCUCCCGACAGAUGCAGGGCAAACUCCGCUCCUCUCCUCUGGCCUGGGUUGCAGUGAUGGAUUAAGUAGAACAGACACUUGGUAGCAGCGAGUGCUGGUUCAUCUGGAAAUAGAGUGAGAAGCGGUCUGAAGGGAGGAGACCACCUACUCAUCCACAAAACAAUGAGCUGCUGCUGGUGGCAGCAAGAUGAAGUGUUUCCUUCCUGAUGCUUUGAGCUCCCCCUGAUUUGGAUCAUUGUGUUACCACGUUUGAUUAGCAUGGCUCAGUCUCUGUCUGGAUCUUACAAGGAAGCUUGUCUGUAUUAAAAACAGGCUGAAGUUUGGAGCAUCAGCAGAGUCCAAGGAAUGAGCCAGGACUCCACUGGCCUCCCUCACCCUGCCAUUGGAUGAGUUUUCCUUUGGAGUUUGGGGAAGACUCACCCAGUGGUCACUUUCCCUGUGGCUCCCACCAGCUCAAGCCAGUGUCACUGUCACUCAGUUGUGUGAAUGGCUGUGGAGGAAAAUUCCCUUCCCUGUGUACAAUCUGGGAUCUGUCCUGUGUCAGCUGAACGUGAUUUGCUGCCUUCAGCCCCUCAGAGCCUGGUCUGCCUCUCACUAGCCCAGCCUGGGAUUGGCAUUCACUGUCAGGGACCUGCUGUCUGCAUUCAGAGCAUGGGACGAGUCAGCCUGGCCUUCCCCGCUCUGCGCCUGGGGACAAGGCAGGUCAUGACUUAUGCAUUUUAUCGUUACAAAGAGAAUUUCCUCUAGAUGUGUGCAAUAAGACAGUGGUGCUGACCUGUGAUCCUGGCACUGAGCAGCGUUAAAGACUCCCCUUUGCAGGUAAUAAGCAGCAAAUGUACAUAUUUUGGGGAGAUCUGAAUAUUUUUUUCUCUUUUUAAGACUGCUGUCUUCAUAGGCCAGACUUAAUUAACAGACCUCAUUAUUUCCUGAAAUGUAACUUGACUUCUAUUGAAUGAGAAUUGUUCAGUGGAUGGGAAGCAGCAGAGCAGUGCUGCAAUAUUCAUAUUGUUUUAAUUGCAACAUUAACAUUUCAUGCCGCUCCUGGCACACUUUCAGGUGCGGCCCUUUAGCUCGAUGCAACACUGUGAAAGGUUGGAUAAGAGCAAUUAGGAUAGAGUGGCUGGAUUUCUGGAUUUUCUUUUUUUUCCCCCUUCUAUUUUAAUGAACAUAAGCUUGAAUUCAGUCCCCAUCCCCCCUUUUGUUGGUCAGAACGGGAAGUCACCACCCCUGGAGUGUAAAUCCCUUUUUUUUUUGAGUAAAGGAUGUGCUGUAGCACAUGUUUAAAUUGUCCUUAGCCCCACAGGUACAAGUGAUACAUGAUUCACCAGGCUGAAGGCACCUCCUGGGACUUGACCUUUACUAGGUGAAUCAGAGAAGUCCCAAAUUGUGUCUGGCCAGCUGGGAUAGUGUCACAAAUGAGCUGGAGGGAAAAAGGUUAUUUCUCACUUCUCAGUUUCUGCCAGGGCUCUGGAAUGCCUGAGGCUGGAAACGACACUCCAAACAGAUAACAACUGGGUUAUCAGUGGAGAUCCUAAAUGAGCACAGGGAUCACCCUGCUCUAUCCCCAAAUUGCACACAGGGUUUGGGUUUCUGACAGAGGGGUCAGAGAGAGCUGAAAUGCUGGGCUCAGCCUUAGCAAGGUUGUGUCACACUGGCUGAUGUGGCAAUGUUAAUUGACUCUGAGGGAGAACCAGGAAGUUGUUGUAUCCUUUUCAGAAAGAAGGAGGGUUUCUGAGGCUCGCUCUUUCCUCUUGGGGGAAGAACACCCAUGCUGCUGCCUGCCAGCCCCGUGCUGGCACUGACAGGUCUGUGCUGGGACUGGUGGGCAGCAAGCACCUGUGUGUGGAGGAAUGAGCUUCCUCUCACUCACAAGUUCCACCCAUCAGUCAAGAGCUAAUGAGCAGCUUGAUGUGUAAGUGAUCCUGCUGAGAGCUCACCAGGCGCUGCUCCGAUUCUGGGAUGUCUUCCUGGCAUUUCCUGCCAGCAGUCUGUGGAUAAAACAUCUUUUCUGGAAGGUGAAAUCUCUGUCCACACAGUGGAGAGGCAAUGGGAGAGUUGUGGGGGCGAGGGAGCUGCUCAGCCCAUCAGUUCUCCCCAUUGGAGCUGGGCAUGUCACUUCCAUUUUAGGCAGCAGCUGAACUCAUCCAUAAAUCUGGGAGGGCAAUUAAGGUUGGAAAUGCAGAAGGACCUCAGCUUGGUCUCUUGAAGAAGGAUGAGGGAAGGGUCCACCUUCCAUUUCCAUGGACUUCCCAAAGGCUAACAUGCCAUUUAGCUGGCUGGCUCUCCUAUCAGCCAAACAGGCCUGAAACCUUCUCCUGUUGGUGCUAUGUGCAGUGGGAUCCAUGAAAUCUCAUCUUCUGUGGAUGUACCGUUUGGAUUUGGAGUCUCUGGUGUCCAGUAAGUUAUUAGUGCUGAAUGGAGCAGCUCCCUUUCCUGGGAUAUUUAUAGCUUCUCUCCCACACAAAUUGUCUGAUGUCUAAUAAGGGAUGAUACACUACAGUUUGGAAGGUGCUAAUAAUGUCUCUCCUCUGUUUGGUAAUCUGUUCCCAUGAAAUUUAUAGACUCUGACUGUCUCCGAGACCUCUGUUGCUCUGUCACAUCAGCUUGAAAUCUGUUUGCGGUGUUAGAAGUUGCGAGGGAGUGGGCAGAGGACAGACUGAUGCAGCAGGAUGUGCUCCUUGGGAAAUCAGGCUGAAAAUGCGCAGAUCUGGGGCCGGGGGCAGCUGUGGCUCGGAUCACGGGAGCCUCGUGUUUGGGAAAGCAAUCCGCUUGUGUGGGAGGAAGGUGAUGAGCUCCGAGCGUUGGAGCCGCCUGGGGCGAGCCGCAGGUACCGAGCGUGGCCUCUCGUGGGAAGCGGCCCCCGCGGACGAUGAACGAGGCAGCCCAGAGCUCCUGGCUGGUGUGAAGAAUUGCCUGGCUAAAGGAUAAUGAAUGUCACAGCAAGAGACAGAGCGUUUCUCUGAGGCCAUUCAUCCCCUUUAUCACCCUGCUAACAAGCCCCAGAGCGCCUUUAGAGAGACUUCUCCGGAGCAGCAGCAUCCCUCAGCCGUGCUGCUGCCUGGGUGCUGGGGCUCAGGGAUGCUGCAUGUGGCAGGAGCACUCGGCAGGAAAACCACGGACCAUCCCCCAGAUUAGCAGCCCUGGGUUUGGGUCUCUGCUCUGGGGACCAGGCCUUGGCUUUGGUUUGGCUGUUGUGGAGACCAUGCCCUCCUUCAGGCAUAGUGCCCCCUGAGAGAUCCAGAUGUAAAAGCCAAGCAUCCAUCUUUAUUUAAGUACUUCUGGGCAGCACCUGCAGCACCCUUUGGAGGAUUGCUCCAUUCUAACUCCCAGCUUGCCUAAGAUUUAGGAUUUGUAAGAUUUAUCCAAGACCCAAGAGGAGUUUGGGGCCGCCAGCACGUAGGAAGUCUCCAAGCAUUUUAAAAGGAAGCUAACAUGGCAGAUUGAAAAAUUUCCCUUCUUGAGGCUUCAGUGACUAAGUUUGGAGCCAGACAGAGGAAUCUCACCAUUAAAUGUCGAGUUGAAGUGAAACACAAUACAUCACCUUCCUCGUGGGCUGCCAUUCAGCCACGAGUAACAGAGAUUAGCCUUCAAUCACACGAAGGCUGGAGCUGAAGGAAACCUUCCCGAGGACACGCUGGAGAAACAUUUUCAUUAGCAGAGGAGAACAUGACGGAGAUGAAGUGGCCCUUCACCUCGGCUGCCAGACCUCUCGCCUGCCUGGUGUUAACAGGAAUGCUAACCAAGGAGCUGGGGCCAGCUGCAGUGUUCUGAGUGCUGUCUGCAUCCAGAUGUGAGGAACAGCUGUGGCACAGCAAAGCAGCACUUUUAUAGUCUGGUGGGGGUGGUCUUGGUUUUCCUUCUGCCUAUGAGCUCUCACUGCUAGAAGCAAACUCUCAGCUUAGGGGAGAAAACGUGUGCUAGGGCACAUACCUGAGUGGGUACCCUGGCAUGGGCCAGGAAAACAAUGUCCUUGGGUGAUAAUGUCCAUGGGGCCAGGAGGUAUCACAGCCUCUGCCUCCUGCAAUGCAUUUUGCAAAUUUAACAGGACUGCCUCGGUGGUAGUAGAGACUUUCUCUGCUCCAUGGAAAGCUGUUCCACAGCUCUUUGCUCUUGCUCUACAUCCCCCCAAGGCAGUUGAGGUGCCCAGGAUUCACUUCUGCUAUUGAUGUUGACGAAAUACCCCCUGGACCCCAGCUGGGUGCCUGGCACAGACCUGUCUGUCCCAGUUACUGGGAAUUAACCAACAGGAUCCCUGCAGCUCUGUCUGCCGUCCCCCACCACCUCACCUCCCCGGGGCUGGCGUGCUCCUGACAAAGGCAGGCUCCAUCUCUUUCAGUCACAGCUGAAGGAUGCCUUGCCUGCUCCUAUCUUGCAGGUUGGAGGGAAAUCAUUUUAAUUUGUGUGGCACAUUCCUUUGGGCGUAAGUUGAGGGAAGAGAAGGAAAAAAAAAAUCCAAAAGAAGCUCUGGCCGUUGUGAGUAUUUUUAGUUGUUUGCAAAGGACCAUUAAUAUAUCUUUCUCUUUUUUUUCCAGCUAGGGAAUUGGUUUGGAACAUCAGAACAAAUGGCUGCUGGUUUUGAUGCAUUUUCAUGUUAAGUUACCUCUCAUGUCGCCCUCCACCAUUUCAGAACUGAGAGCAGCCAAAAUGAGAGGAAAACAUGGCUCCUGAGUAAUUUUUCCCCCUAUGAUGCCUUCACCUUUCUUGUAUUCCCUUUUCUCCUACGAUCUCAGCUGGCUGAGAUUCACUGCCAGCCUAUUGAAAGGAAAGGCACGUGCUGGCUUGUGGAGGGAGAGAGACCUGAGACAGGAUAAAUCUGUAUGCAAUGAGAAUGGGGGGAAGCAAGUCAGCUGCUCUGACACUUUUAUUAUGGAGCCAGGCUGCUUGGGGAUGAAUCUUUCUUGAAACGUGUUACUGGAUGACAUUUCUGCCAGGUCUCAGCAGUAACCUUCACCAAGCCUUGCUGCCCAGCCCUGUGCUUGCCUUUUCCUGGGACAAAGAGAAUGAAUAUCCACUGGAAAUGCCACAGGCAGCAGGGAUCAAUGGGGCUUAAUGCACCUCCAGUGAGUCUGAAGGCACCUGGACUUUCUCACCAGAAGCUCUUCAGGCUUUGGUGACUUCAGCUUAUUUGCUGUAUGUGUUGUUUUGCAAAGGAGGUGUGGGCUCCUACAUCUGUUUCUUACUACAGAAUCAAAGAUGAUGCGGCAGAGACCAAAAUGAAAUUCUCCUCGAAGCUGUCCAGGAGGAUGGAUAACUGCAAGAAAAUAUUAUUCCAUGGCUCUGGAAAAGAAAUAUCUAUUUGUUUAGUAACCUGGUAAUGAGGUGCUGGCUCUGCUCCAUGCAGAGGCUGGAAGCCAUGAGAGAUUGGGGGUUACAAAGAGGGCUGGGCAGAGUUUGCUGCCCUCUCGGCUCCUUUCCUGUAUCACUGUCAACUUAGAUUUCACAUCAAGAGGGUGAUGUUAUGGCUGGCGGUGACAACAGCAGAAUGUCACUGGCAGAGGUGAAAUCUUUCCCUCCGUGAGGGUAAUUCUUCCUUCCCUUUCCCCUUCCCCAUGGCUUGCACUGGGACCCUCUGGCUCCUGGUGCUGAGCAGGGCAGGCAGGCAUGCUGCUCAGGGGUCAGCAUCUAUUGUGCUGAGCUUCCUGCUGUCUGGGUGAGUGGCUCUGUGUCACUGAUGCCUCUUGGCUGCAUGGUGACCUGGGACAGAGGGAAACCCCUUGUCACUGCCUGAAACAAACUGGGGCCAUUGGAAGCUGCUGUCAUGGCAGCGUUGCACAGAGUGGUCCUCUGCCAUGCUGGGAGGCUUGUUCCAGCAGGAGGUCUGCCAAGGAUGUUCCUCCAUGGCCCUCGGGGUCCUAUGCUCCUUAGGGCCAGGCCUAAGCUAGGUCCAGCUUAGUUAGGCAGACCUUAUAUGUUAAUGGUUCAUGUUCUCUGCAGGCUGUCUCUCAUCUCCUCUGAGCAGGAGCUGAUCUUGUAGAAAGGUGCCUGUGCUCACCUGCUCCAGCAGCCCCUCUACCAGCAUCUGUCCCCAAGGGCCUGUUCAGCAAAGCCUUGGUGUUGUUCUGGGUCCAGUUUUCAUUUUUCAGCUGGUUAUGGAGAAGAGGAUGAAGAGACCUGCUGCCACUAGGCCACAGUAGAAAACAGAGGAAGGGGACUGGCCUUUUAGUGUGCUUAAAGAUCCAAAAAUUUAAUCUGAUCCUGCUUCUCUCUCAGCCCUGAGCCUGUUGUAUCUUUUCCAGCUGUUGCCUGAGACAUUUUUUUUGUUUUGCUAUUUUUUUCUUGUUCCCUUUUUACCCUCACUUUAUGAAAAAUGGCUUUCUCAUCUGCAUCUGUCAGGAGUCUGCCUGAGCUGGGUGUACGGCUCAGUGAAUAUACAAAUGUGCGGUUGGGUCGUGGCCCCCCUGACAGGCCGGAGAUGGAUUCCAAACAUGCAGGGAAAAGGGCUUCUGCUGCCUCUCAUGGUUGUUUUUCUUAUCCCAAGGAGGUGUGAGAAUCGCCUUUGGGAGCAGCGCUUCCUUCUGCUCCUGCUCUGCCUUACCAAGGAUCAGUUCUCUCUCAUCCAUCAUCAGGUGACCAGCACUGUGGGGCUCUGCGAGGAGGAGUUCACCAUCUAUGCUGAGUAAGUGCAGGGUCACUCAGGUGCCCAAAAGGAGCUGACAGCCUGCCCUGACACCCACGGAUUUGCUGAGCUGCUCCUGCCUCUUGGCUUUCUGCAGGCUGGUACGUGAGCUGCUUCCCUCACCGCUAGGUACAGAGAAGCUUACAGCCAGGUGGGCUCAGAGGAGCAGGCAGGCAGAAAAUGAAAUAACUCUAAUAACAUCCACACUCUUGCCACAGCUACCUGGUCAAGGAGAGGAGGUUUCUGGGAGGGCAGACCCCCACUUUGGCAGGAAGAGAGAGCAGGCAGCUUGAGCUGAGCUCAUUUUUCAACAAGCAGAUGGAUGUUCAGUGGGGACCCACGAAAACCCUCUCACUCCGGGCUGCAAGCCCUCCAAACCAAAGUAGUGUGCUGACAUGGAAAAAAGCAUCGCAUCAUUGAUGCUCAAGCCUGAAUUGCUUCUUCCACUCGAUUCAGGACACGGCAACAGCCUCCUCCUGCCAGCAGCUCCCAUGAGCAUCCAGCUGCACGCCUGCAACCAGGCGAGGAGGGAUCUGGAGCUGUGGAGCCACGAGGAAGGCGAGCGAUGGCAGAUUCCUCCGGCAUUUCCACCCCGCGGGGCUCUUGGCGAGCGAGCGCUCGUGUGCUUUGAAAGCUCUUAGUGCUCCUGCAGGUGGGAGCCAAUUUGUCUGCUUUCCUGCCCAGGUGCCAUCUGUUUGUAGGAUUGCCUGUGCGGUGGAUGAGCACGGCGGGGAUGGCAAAGGGAAAAGGGCUGCUGGGGUGGGAGAGAUGAGCCUAAAACUUUCCUUGGGUAUCUUCAGCACUUCUGGCUGCCGUUGUUCCUUCUCCUCUGCACCGCGGCAGGGAAAUCACAGCCUGUCAUUUGCUGUUCCUGGAGCGUGAUGGGGAGCUGAGGCACCGCUAAUAGCGAACCAUCAUUUUAAUGCUAAUUUCCUACCAUUAGCUCAGGCUGGGGGAGGCUCAGCCUGGGUGGAGGGAAACCAUUAACAGAUGGAGAAAGGGGGGAUGUGUGGGGAUUUGCUGCACCCCCAGAAGGGAUUUCCAAAGGGCAGAUGACUAACUACCACUGGGAAAAUUGGUAGGAGGCACUGGGGUCAGUCCGUGGUGGAUGUAUGGGAGGGAGGAAGAGCAAUGGCUUGUUCCAAAUCAUCUUCCUAUAGGGAUUUCUUGAGUGCUUCAGACUUUGGCUUGAAUUUGGUGUUUGCUGCUUGUUGCCAGCCCUCUGUGCCCUGUGACCCAAGGGAUGCUCAGAGCGCUGGCAGGGCUGCAGCUGGUGGCACCGCUGUCCUCCCAACAAAGGAGACAAGCAGGGCUGGGCUUAGCCUGGACAGUCAUGUUGGGUGAUGGGCUUCAAAGCAAGUUUGAAGCUGUUCUUGAGAUACCCAAGAGCUAAUAAAAAGAAAUCUGCCCUUUUGCCAUGGGAACAAGGUCAGCUGUCCCAAGGUGCAGAGCGGACAGGAGAAUCCAGGGGCUCAGUUUGGAGUCAUGAAGGAAACUCAACCAUUUCCCUGCCCUUUCCAGAGCUGGUAGUCCCCACAUCCAGCCUCUUGGUCAGUCUCUCCUAGCCAUGCUGGCAAAGUGGAAGAGCCUGGGCUGGUGUAGGUGCCUGGAGCUCUGGGGGAGUUUGAAGAAAGAUGACUGGCUGCAGGACUGUAAGGCCUGUUUGGGCAGCAGUCAGAGAGGUUCCUCUAUCAUUUUUAGACCAGCAUGGAAACAUUGUGACUAAAGGAAUGAGAGCUCAGAUGCUGUGUCUGUCUGGAAAGAAACUGGUUGUCUACUAAUGAGGGACAGCAUUGUUUGAAGUCAAGGGCCCAGCUGUGUCCUGUCUGUGCUGUGACCCCUCUCCUGAGCUCAUCUAGACUGCUGGCUUCAUCAUUUCAUAUGGAAGCCUAUGUGGAUUUUUUUAAAACACACUUAAGGACCAUUUUAAAACUCUUUUGUCAUCUGGCAGGGAAGCAGUGGAAGGACAAAAGCAGCCACAAUAAACCAGGAACUGGUUAAAUGGCAGAGGGAUUGCAAGCCAAGAAGGGACCAACCUGCCAGGAGGACAAUAGCACAAGGCUACAUUAGUAGAGUGCCAGCUAUCAGAUCCAUCUCGGUGUGGAGCAUGACUCACUGUUUUUAAAGGAGCUAUUUCCAUCUUAGAAAAUGGCUCCUAUAUUUUAUAAAGGGUCUUCCCAGCUUUGGUUGAGGAGAGAAAAGAAAAAGUGAAGGGAUACUUUUUCCUAGUCGAGGCGAAUCAAACUUUCCUUCAAGUAGCUGAGCAAGGAAAUCAGCGCCUUAUGUGUUCCCAAGAAUAAUACAAUCCAGUAGUUUUGGGGGGAGAAAAGAAGUUGGAAUAAAACAGCAUUGCUUUUCCCAGUUCAGCACUCUGAAUAAUGAGCCUGUAAACCGGGGGGAGAGCUCCCGAGAGGCGCCUGCGUACCGGAGAUGGACACAACAAGUGUCUCAGAUGGGUCGGUAUCUGAAGCGAUCUCUCUCUAAUUUUCUACAUCAGUGAGAGCACAGCACGGCACCAUCAAUCAUAGUCAACCUCCCUUUGGAAAGGCACCUCCUACCUCGCUGUUCUGUGGUGUCCCCCUGUGCUCCUGCCUGUGCUGGGGACCGCAGGUGUCCUGGGCAGCAGCACUGUCCCUCUCAGGGGGCUCUCAUUCCUUGUGUUUGAGCCUGCUCGUGCUUCUGCCUGUCUCCUUCCUCCACCCCUGGCACCUGCUCCUUGCCAUCACUUCAUUUCCAGAUGCGUCUUCCCCUCCUGGAGACAGAAAAGGCCAAAUGCUCCCUUUAUCCCCGAUGAGGAGGUGUGGGGCUGCCUUACUUGGAAUAAAGCCACUGUGUGCUGCCUGGGGGAGGCCUGAGGGUGGACUUGGUGCUUGUUCUGCUCAUCUGAAGAUGGGGAGGUUGGGCUUUGCAGUUCCCAUGGAGCCAUCAGGGCAUGCUCCGGGGUUUGCUCGGCUCCAGCUCCUUUUCCCCAGCUCAGGACAUGGAGCAGCUUUCAUGCUGUGCUUGUGAUGCAAUGCAGCUGCUCUUGGUCCCUCAGCUCUCUUUUUUGUGGAACCCCCUGCUCCUUCCUGGCCUGCCUGUGCUUCUGCCAGACCCAGGGGCACUGCUUUGGCAAGAACACUGGUGGUGGUCUUCUCCUGGCCAGGCACACUCCUAGGCUGGCCAGAAGGCAGGUGGGACACAGAUCUGUGCCUGUGGCUGUUUCUUCUACUGUAGCACAGACAUAGCUGGUGGCUUUGCUGCCUCUUGCUUCUUCAUCUCCCUCAUGUGCUAAAUUGGGCUCUCUUCCUCAGUUGUGGUGGCUCUUGGACCUAUCAAAACCUGGCUGACUUGUUCCUGGUAUCAUGACACAGAAGUUGUUUGCAGCCCCAUAUCUGACUCUGUGAGCUCAAGCUCCAGGUAGAAAACCAAGGACUGAGCUGCUUUCUUGAGCACAGCCUCGGAGAGAAGCAUUUUCAGAAGAAACUCUUGCAAUUGCCACCUCCCUCUCAGCCUCUUCACUGGUUUCUGAGAGCUGCUGAGCAUCCUUGACCUCUCUCUCAGGCAUGGUUCCCUGCACGUAUCAGCCCUGCUCCAGUGUUGUGGAGCUGUUGCUGGCGUCUGUAAUAGCUGCGUUGUUUACUUCCCAAGUGCCUGGCCUUUCUGUAAUGAGCUGUAAUUCAUCCUGGUUUAUACAGGCUCAGAUAUACCUGGAGCAAGGAGGGUGUGCCAUUAAACCACCUUCUAGACUGCUAUCUGGACCCUGGAUUGCUGAUCCCCUGGAGAUGUAAAACAGGGAGGACAAGGGGGAUCAGAUGGAAAUGGGGAAUAAUUACCUUGCAGGGCAAAGGGGGCUGGCUGGGUUGGAAACUGCUGGGAGCUGACAUACAGGUACAGAUGGAUGGUUACGGCAGGCAGGGCGGAGGGAUGAAAGAUGCCUUUUUAAAGCAUCUGCCUCCCUCUCUUCCUCUGCUUUAUAACCUGUUUUUAUAGAGACUGCAUGAGGAACACAUUUUAUUUUAUUAGCAGCUUGGGAGUGGAGAGUAAUAAAGAUUAAUUUUUUUAAAUAA